UAGGGAAUCUUCGGCAAUGGACGAAAGUCUGACCGAGCAACGCCGCGUGAGUGAAGAAGGUUUUCGGAUCGUAAAACUCUGUUGUUAGAGAAGAACAAGGACGUUAGUAACUGAACGUCCCCUGACGGUAUUUAACCAGAAAGCCACGGCUAACUACGUGCCAGCAGCCGCGGUAAUACAUAGGUGGCAAGCGUUGUCCGGAUUUAUUGGGCGUAAAGCGAGCGCAGGCGGUUUCUUAAGUCUGAUGUGAAAGCCCCCGGCUCAACCGGGGAGGGUCAUUGGAAACUGGGAGACUUGAGUGCAGAAGAGGAGAGUGGAAUUCCAUGUGUAGCGGUGAAAUGCGUAGAUAUAUGGAGGAACACCAGUGGCGAAGGCGGCUCUCUGGUCUGUAACUGACGCUGAGGCUCGAAAGCGUGGGGAGCAAACAGG
rnacentral:rRNA from 1 species